CACUGGAUGAACACAUUCUUUGCAGACAUCAUUUAUUCUUUCAUUAUUAAAUACAUAAUGAAAGGCUUCAGAUACCAUGUGAACUAUAGGAAUGUAAAACAAAUAAGAAGACAGAGUCUUUUUUUUUUUUUUUUCAGUCACACCUGCAGCAUAUGGAAGUUUCCAGGCCACGGGUCGAAUCUGAGCCACAGCAAGACAGAGUCUUUACUUUGGGGAGAUCCAUUUAAUGAUGAUCCAUUGAACACUGUGAAGGAACAGAAGUAGAGCAACUUCUAGGUUUUGAGCUUGGGUGAAUGGAUGAUAGAUUUGUUACUGAGACAGAAUCUACAAGACAGAUCAUUAACUGAAAGGGGGAAAGAGGAUUGAGUUCAGUUUUGAGUCUUGUGAGUUAGAGGUACUUGUGGGAUAGCCACACAGAGAAGACUGAGUGUAAUUGUAGCAGAGCUGAAGACUGAAUAUAACUUGAGAAUAUGGUAGGGUGUGAAUAGGGACCAGGGGUUUCCAAACCUAAGCAUUAAGCUCAUGUUUAGAGUUCAUUAAAAAUUGAUUGAUACAGGAGUUCCCAUUGUGGCUCAGUGGUUAAUGAACCCAACUAGCAUCCAUGAGGUUCUGGGUUCAAUCCCUGGCCUUGCUCAGUGGGUUAAGGAUCUGGCAUUGCCGUGAGCUGUGGUGUAGGUCACAGACGCAGCUCGGAUCCGCAUUGCUGUAGCUGUGGCAUAGGCUGGUGGCUACAGCUCUGACUGGAUCCCUAGCCUGGGAACUUCCAUGUGCUGCAGGAGCAGCCCUAAAAAGACAAAAAGACCAAAAAAAAAAAAAAAUUGAUUGAUACAGCGGAAAUUGACAUGACAUUGUAAAUCAACUAUACUUCAAUAACAUUUUUAAAAAAUUGAUUGAAAAGUUUCUCCCCCAGAGAUUCUGAUUCAGUUGAUCUCAGGAGGAAGUUGUAUAUUUUUACAGAAUUUCCAUUGCUACUGUAUUUAGUGCAGGUCCUCUGGAGAGCAAACACCAAGAUAGAGUGAAAAUGCAGUAAUUUUUUUUGGGGGGGGGGUCGGGGGCAAAUACCUGUGUCAGAGGAAAUGGGAGGGAGACAUCAGGCAGCAGUGCAAAUCUGACCCCAUGAAGGGAGGAGAGAGCGUUGGUUGGGUAGAAUAUUCUCAGAGUGCUUUGCAGGGUAGGGAAGGGUUAGCAAGGCUUUUGGAAGAUUCUGCAUUUUUCAGGAACUGGCCCACCAUGCUCAAUCACUAGCUACACAGGAGCAGUCUGUGGGAAGCCUGGCAUUGACACAACUCUGGUAAUGGAUUUCUCUAUGUGGUUGAAGGUCUAUGAGGCAUUUUUCUUGGCUCCUACCAUUUUAAGACAAUGGGAUGAGGGAAGAAAAAUAGAAAUGGGCUGUAGCUUUGAGGCAAGGUUUCCCGUUGUUUGAUUUCAAAUAGGAAAGACUUCAGUAUGUUUGUAAGCUUAGAGGAAGGAAUCUGCACAAAGGGAGAAGUUAAAGACAAAAAACAGGAAGAGAAGGAAGGAAAGAGGGAUGGGGAAGAGGAGAGAGAGGGAGGAAGGUAGGGAGGAAUGGGGGAGAGAGAGAAAGAGAGGGAGGAAUUGAGAAUGAAUUAACUGUGGAGGAAUGAGACUCCGGAGAAGGCAGGAAGACAUGGGAUAACAGGGUAGGGCUUUGAAUCUGAGCAGUGGCAUCUUAUUGUCUGGGAUAGUUCUGGAUAUGCGUUAAGGCUGAACAUUAUAGGAAGUUAAAGGGAAUUGCACUUGGUUUUCUCAAUUUCUACCACAAAACAGGAGGCAAAGUAUCAACAGCACCAUUGGUGGAAGGUUUGGUCUUGAACAGGAGGUAUCCCAUCCUUUGAGGCAGAAGUCAAAAGAGGUAAGAAUGGGCUCCAAGAAAGACUCUUACAGAGAUGGGGUCAAAUUACAGGACAGAAAGGGUGGUAGCCUUGAUUUCUUGAUAAGUAGGAGGCAAAGUUAUCUGCUGAAGGUAUUUAUUUGUCCCUCUUUUCAUAGGACAGACUUCCUUAUAUACAACCUUAACAGAAAUAGUAUUUAGUACAUUAAAAUAAAAACUUUAGGAUCUUUGAUAUUUAGAUGAUUCUCUAUUAUAUAAAUCUUUCAUAGGCAUGUGUCUGUUUCUUUUCAUAUAAACCAAAACUCUCAACUAUUCCCUUGAUCUAAUUUAGAAUAUUUAAAAAUGGUACUGUAUUGAAUUUACACUAUUCUCAAUCAGAAAAAAAUUACUGGAAGUACUGGAAAUAUACUCUCAGUAUAUUUUGUAUAUUUGUUACCAAAUUUAACAAACAAAAACCACUUUUGGAUGAUGUAAUUUUAUCUAAUAUUAAAAUAAAUUCAUCACAGGAGCAUAUACUGGCUCUCCCUAUCAAAAAGUAGACAUCAAAAUAUUUUAUAAUUUGAGGGGGUCCUUAAGAUCAGUGGCUUCUGAUUUGGGGGCCUCAGACUCCUAGAAUGCAUAAAUUGAACAAUAGUAGUUAGAUGAUCUAUUUAAAAAUUUCAAAGCACCUAAUGGAAAUCCCACUUUACCCAUAUGAAGUCUUUGAGUUCCUUUACAAUUAAUUGAAAUUAUUUUGACUCAGUUGGGCCAUUCUUCAGACUCUCCAAAGGGCCUUUGCAAUACUAAAACAGGGAUAAUGUAUUAAUCAUUAUUUAUUCAAUGAGUUUAAAAAUCAGCAAAAGCUGGGUGGCUGAUCAAAUUAAGAAUCUGGCAUUGUCACUGCUGUGGCUUGGGUCACCGCUAUGGCGGGUUUGAACCAAUGGCCUGGGAACCUCUGCAUGCAACCUCCCCCCAAAAAAGUUACAUUUACACUAUAUUGUAGUCAAUUAUUAUUAUUAUUAUUAUUUGUUUUGUUUUGUCUUUUUGCCUUUUCUAGAGCUUCUCCGGAGGCAUUUGGAAGUUCCCAGGCUAGGGGUCGAAUCAGAGCUGUAGCUGCCAGCCUACACCACAGCCACAGCAACGUGGGAGCUGAGCUGCAUCUGAGACCUACACCACAGCUCAUGGCAACGCCGGAUCCUUAACCCAUUGAGUGAGGCCAGGGAUCAAACCUGUAACCUCAUGGUUCCUAGUCGGAUUUGUUAAUGGCUGAGCCAUGAUGGGUACGUCUGUAGUCAAUUAUUAAGUAUGCAAUAUCAUUAUGUCCAAAAAAAGUACAUACCUUAAUUAAAAAAUACUUUACUGCCCAAAAAUAGUAAC
rnacentral:lncRNA from 1 species